GCCAUUUGAUGUUUUUCAAAAAGCUUACAUAACUCCUUUUAGCUCAAUAUUUCUCUAAAAUUUUCCUUCUCUAAAAAGAGUCCCACCACUCUAUUCAAAACCUUGAGAAUAGCUAGGAAGACCUCUUAGUGAUCCUCAUUGAAGCUAUUUGAAGAAAUUUAAAAAGCUACAAAGAUUGUUAUUUCGAUCCUUGCUCGCUUCCGCUGCGCAUGUAUGUAUAUUUUCAAGAAUGAAGAAGGAUGAAAAAUAGGUGAAAGGCUGCUAGCGAAGGUCAUUUGGCUGAGGGUGCAGCGCCAUGGCACUGUCACGGAAAUAGAAAAAAAAGGUCGCGCACAUCUCAUUUGAUGUUGUGGUAUUCAGAGCGCAGCGUCUCAACAUUGUGACAAGUUUAUUUAAAAGGCUUCGUUUUCAUUUAGGUUUUGAUUAUUAUGUUGGGACAUAAUUUGAGACGGCUGUAACAGUGUUGGUGCCCUGAUUUGAGGCGUGGCAAUAGUGAUAUUUGGCAGAGGAAGAAGGUCAAGAUGCUAGAGUUGUAGAACGAUGUCGGCAACCAGUUCUCAUGAGUAUUGUGAGAUUUUUCAUUCCUAUUUUCUAGGAUCGUAUUGUUGUAAUUUCUAGAAACUAGGUGGCUUUUGUUGAGACCUCUAGAUUUGAGAGAGUUGGAUUGCUCAUUUUAUUAUCUCAAUAUUAUAGUAGAACCUGUUUGUCGCAAAAGACUCGAUGUAACCCUUGCUUGAGUGAACCAGUAUAAAUCUUGUGUCGUUUA